rnacentral:rRNA from 1 species
CCUACGGGUGGCAGCAGUGAGGGAUAUUGGUCAAUGGGGAAAACCCUGAACCAGCAACGCCGCGUGAGGGAAGACGGUCUUCGGAUCGUAAACCCCUGUCCUCUGGGAAGAUAAUGACGGUAGCUGAGGAGGAAGCCCCGGCUAACUACGUGCCAGCAGCCGCGGUAAUACGUAGGGAGCAAGCGUUGUCCGGAUUUACUGGGUGGAAAGGGGGCGCAGGCGGCUUUGCAAGCCAGAAGUGAAAUCCAUGGGCUUAACCCAGGGACUGCUUUUGAAACUGCAGGGCUUGAGUGGAGGAGGGGUAGGCGGAAUGCCCGGUGUAGCGGUGAAAUGCGUAGAGAUCGGGAGGAACACCAGUGGCGAAGGCGGCCUGCUGGGCUGUAACUGACGCUGAGGCACGAAAGCGUGGGUAGCAAACAGGAUUAGAUACCCGGGUAGUC